rnacentral:rRNA from 1 species
UAAUAGCGUAUAUUAAUGUUGUUGCAGUUAAAAAGCUCGUAGUUGGAUUUUGGUGUUUGACAAAUGGUCUGCCUUUCGGUGUGCACUGUUUGUUGGCACUUCUUUUCUGGGGAACUCACUGCUCUUAAUUGAGGGGCGCUGUAACGCAGAUCGUUUACUUUGAAAAAAUUAGAGUGUUCAAAGCAGGCCAACGCAUUGAAUACAUUAGCAUGGAAUAAUGGAAUAGGACUUUGGUCUUAUUUUGUUGGUUUCUAAGGCCGAGGUAAUGAUUAAUAGGGAUAGUUGGGGGCGUUUAUAUUCCGUUGUCAGAGGUGAAAUUCUUGGAUUUACGGAAGAUAAACUACUGCGAAAGCAUUCGCCAAGGAUGUUUUCAUUAA